ensembl:lncRNA
GAAGGCAUCCCCACGCUACGUGCUCUGCUCCUCCUGCCUCGUUGCGUUUUCGAGGAGGGUUUGUUCCGGGACAAAGUUAGGUGCGGAGAGUUUGAUGGAUCCCUGGUUCCCGGGGCCCUGGAGGGACCCGUGACACACUGCCCUGUGCACCUACACCAUGCGCUGAACUGGAGCGCAGCGGACUCGUGCGCUUUCCCACACGAGCAGCCCUGCUCACUUGGAACGUUGCAAGAAGAAAUUGCUCUGUGGGACUCUCCCCGUGGGGAGAAGGCUUUCUGCAGUCGCAUCUACAGUCCAACCUGGUGGCUUUUGCUUGGCCACGGUGCCCCAGGAUAAACUGGGUUUAACCGGUGGCCUGUAAAAUAGUCUUCAUCAAGAUCUAUGCUUUACAGGAUUCAAAUCUAAGCCUAUUUUACUUUUGAACCAAAGAUCCCAGGCUCGUUGAGGAAAACCAGCCAGCUCCGUGUGUUGCAUUUAAUAUUUUAUUGCUCAUUGCCAGCAUAUUGUGUAAUGAAUAGAAAAAUGAUGUCUCGUUUCUCCAUUUGGGCCACUGAAGCAGGAGUCAGUGCUGCUUCCCCUGGAUGAACAGUGUCGAGAACAUGUGCCCUCCUUGUGUGUUAAUGCCAGAAAGGGCUGUGUAUAUAGUCUGAUGUGUUUCAGGGAAAAUGGAGGAAUGAAGAGAGAGAAGGAAGGUCACCACAGAAAGCACUGCUGGACCAGUGAUGGGAAGAUGAACAAUUAUGUCAACAGAAAGGGUGGUGACCAUGACAACUCUGAAGCAAUCCCAGGGAACCAGCACCUUGAAUUCUCAUUGCCCAGAGAACCCCAGUCUACAUCGUUACAGCUGGGCCUGCAAAGAUACAUCGGCUUCCAUCCCAGUGAUUGUGGGUUUCUGAGACGCAUCCAGGCUGCCCACUGAGGGGAGAAUAAUUGGUGUAGGUGGAAGGUCACCACAGAGUAUCUCCAGCUCCACAGUUAAAUUGUAGUACUGUGAAGAUAGACAAGGGCUGGGUCUUUUAUCUAACAGGAAAUAAUUUUAAUUGAAUCUUUUUAGUUAUAUACCAAUAAAAUUUAAACAUAAUUGCCUUUGUUAAGUAUUGUUAGCAUGAGGCUGAGUAAUGGAAAUUACAAAGAAAAUUUAAAACUUGCUUACUGAAUAUAGAGAAUGGAAUGAUAGAAAACUAACUCCACAAUUUUGGGGGAUGUUCUGUUAACUCAGAUCUGUUUUAACCUGGUGUAAUAAGAAACACAGAAAUGAUGGUCAUUGAGCAAGAUGUUUUUAUUACUCAUGUCCUCUUAGAAGGCUAGCUUGGCACAGUCACCAGGGCUUCCACACACAGAAACACCAGGCCAGAAGGCAGAAGGAGGGCGGGGUAGUAUGGACAGGAACAGGAGAGACAGGGUAGAGGGUAGGAGCUGGUUAGUUUGAAUCAUUUAAGCAGGAAGUCUGGAGAGGGGCAGUCCCUGGUGGUUCAUACCUGGCCCUGGGGUUAUAGUGGCCCACAGUGUGUGUGCUACUGAAGGAGGUGGGAUGGGCUCUGAUUAGUUAGCAAGGCCCUGUGGAUGUCAGAAUAUCAGGAUACAGAAACUGAAAACUGUCGUUAACACAUGAGGGUUUUAUUUUAAUGGUUAACUAAUGAAUUAGGCCUGUAGAUACAUAGAAUGUCCUAUAAAAGAAGCAGAAACACCUACCUUGGGGUCUGAUGGAUGUACUUACUCAGUAAACAUUAAUUAUAUCUGAGUCAUCAUGCCAGAUGGUCCAGCCAUGCUGCUCUUGGUCCUUAAUGGCCAUGGUAGUCAGGUGUGCAGUGUUUAUCCUGAGAAAGCCAGAGAGUGUGUACUGUAUAAUAAAGAUCCCCAUGGGUAAGCCAUCAGAAUGAAAAGGAGGCAUAACAUGUAUGUCCACUAAAAGCUAACAAACCAUUAACUCUGGGCUGUUGUGGCUGCCUGUAAUAAGACCCCUCAUAGAUCAAGGAGCUCAAAACUCUAGCCUGGAGAUAUUUGCAGUUGAUUGGUUAUGAGGGACAGAGAGUCAUUUUUCUUUGGGAUCAAGGUCACUGGUAGAUUGUCUGUGCUCCAGUGGAUGUCCCCACCCUGUGUGCAUGAACGUUUUUAAGUAUUUUCCACUUGCAACCUCUUGUCAGCCAACAAACUUUUACUUGACCCAGAAUGUAGAGGUGUCUUCAUUACUCUUCUAUUGCUGUGAAUAGAUGCCAUGAUCAAAGCAAUUUUUACAGAAGAAAGCCUUUAAUUGGAGUCUUGCUUGCUUACAGUUUCAGAGGUUUAGUUCAUUAUCAUCACGGUGGGGAGCAUGGUGGCAGGCAUGGCACUGGAGCUGAGAGCAAAUCCUGAUUUGUCCACAGAGAGAGAGAGACUGGGCUUAGCAGGGCUUUUGAAACCUUAAAGCCCAUCCCCAACAACACCCUUCCUCCAACAAGGCCACAUCUACUCAAACAAGACCACGCCUCCUAAUCCUUCUAAUUCUCAAAUAGUGCCACUCCUUGGUGACUAAGUAUUCAAAUAUAUGAGCCUAUGGGGGCCAUUCUUAUUCAAACUACACAGUAGGUAUAUGAAAUAGGCACAAAAAUGAAGCAUUUACUAAUAAUAAAUAAAAUUUUAUUUUAAAACAAUUCUUUGAUUCACACAUACAUUUACUAUUUAUUAAAGAUGACAGCAAAUUUGCAUACUAAUAAGAUGGAUCUGCUUGUUGUUUUGACAUAAAGAAUCAAAUUGUGGACUAAAUUUUAGGUCCUACAGGACACGGUACAUCCUCAGUGUUUUCCAGAGUUGAUCGAGAUUUUGACUGAUUCUCAAUACUGACAAUACUGUUUCUCAUAAAUGCAUAGUAUAAAAUAGUAGGGGUGUGUUAGGACCAUCUUAGAAAUGGUUGGAAAUUCUGUUUUAAACUUAGGCCAAAAUUCUUUAGUGAUUUCCUUUUUUUAUGACACUCAAGUCAGCAACACAAACAGCAAUUUUUAAAAUCAAUCAUUCUAAGAACAGGGUCCAAAGGUACACUAACAGGAGAACUGUGUGGUGGGGGGUGAUGGUAGGAAAAUAUUAAAAAGUCUUUGUUUCCCAUAACUAGGCUAUUUAAUUCUAUAAAAACAAAAGGCUUUGCAUGCUCAUUAAGAACUCUACAAUGGACAAUGUGCUGCAGUCUCAAAUUGGAGUGGAGAUAUUUUGAGCUCUGUCCCUUGGCAGGUGGUGAUGGCACGUGCCGUGCAGAGCAUGCUGUAUGUUCACUACCAACAUCGCAGUGAAGUCGCAGGACAUAGCACAGGCGAAUGCUGCUAGAAACACCUCAGACUUGUACAGGUUUGCUUUGGGAUUCACUUUUGCUUGCUGUGUGUUCAGAAGCCUUUUUACUGUGGCUCACUCUUGUGAUUCACAGUUUAAGCAACUGGGUCCCAAGCAGUGAUGUGACUAUUGGAAUUUACUAGUGUUUACAUUAUAUUGAGUACUGUAAAUCUUCUCUAGGUGUAUGUAGGGCAAAAUGCAUAUAAACCUAUGAAAAUCUACACCACUGUAUUUAAGCAUCCAUGAAUUUUGGUAUCCCUGGGGGUCCAGUUCCCUGUUGAUACGGUGGGUGAUGAUAUUGGGUGUUCAGGGAAUUAAGCAGAUCUGGACUAGCUGUCCCUUUGUGCACAACAUGAGAGGCAAUCAAUGUUUGUGGAAGGCUGUGUGGUUAGUCUCACCCCAAGGGCUUUGCAUUUCCUGUUUAGAUUGUUUAUUCUCCCAUGUGGUGUGGCCAGUUAUUGUGGCUGUCUUACAGACCAGGGAACUGAAGAACAAACACGUUAGGUCUUUUCCCAAAGUCACCUUGACAGUCAGUCAGUGAUUGGGUUGGAAAAAGAGCCCAGCAUAUCCCAAGAACUGUCACUUCAGCACUGGGCAGUGCUGUGCAUGGGCACAUGGGCUACCUUGUCUGUUACAAGGAUUAAUUGGCUCUACACUGUACAGACAUUUGCAUCAGGCAUCCAAUGCACAGAUGCUUCCAAUGCUACUGCUGAUUUGGGAAUCACUCUUGUGUAAAGGUCUAGUGAACCUUGAUGUUUUCUCUCAGAUUCCGCCCAGCCAUGUCCACUGUCAAGGCAAGGCUUCCCUUGCCCUUGGUCAUCAAACACAUGCACAACUCCCUUCCCUACUUCUCCAAGUCCUACUUAGAACUCUUUUCCCCAGAAACUCAUCUCUUCUCACAUGAACAAUUGGACAAGUGUGGGAGGCAGAAGGAAAAUGAGGCACUUUUAAAUGCAGGGGAGCAGAAUGCUCUCUAUUCCCUGCAGAAGGCUGCACCCACUCCUAUAGCAGUAGAAUCGAAUCCCCCAAAAGUAGAACAAGAGGAAUGCUUCCAUUCAAGACUCAUGUGCCAAGACUAGGAGCAGUCAUCUUUAUUUGCCAGCCUUUGAAUUCUAAAUGUGUUUUCUUCUCCAGUAGCAAGAAGACCAUAUUUAGCUUCCUGUGUCUAUUGAAGCAAUAACUAAACAGUGUAUUUAAUAGCAGAGUCCACAGCUCCAAGUACCCAGCAGAUCUUGAAUUUUCUUGCAAAUAUACUGGAGCCGGCCAGUGAAGUUGUCACUGUGCCCCCUAGCCUUUCCUUAAAGAAAUCUUGAGGCACUUGGGAAUUUUGAGAAAUAGUUUUCACAUUGCUCUUUAAUUCUCACAAGUCCCUAGUCGGUAAGUGACUUCUAGUCAAUGCGAUUUCAAAUUUUUAAAAAAUGAAACUUAAUGCAUUUUUGUAGGUGUAUGUGUGUGUGAUGUGCAUACAUGUGUAUGUGUCCAUGCAUGUAUAGGUAGGUGUGUGUGUGUGUGUGUGUGUGUGUGUGUGUGUGUGUGUGUGUGUG